UACGAAGGGGGCUAGCGUUGCUCGGAAUCACUGGGCGCAAAGGGUGCGUAGGCGGGUCCUUAAGUCAGGGGUGAAAUCCUGGAGCUCAACUCCAGAACUGCCUUUGAUACUGAAGAUCUUGAGUUCGGGAGAGGUGAGUGGAACUGCGAGUGUAGAGGUGAAAUUCGUAGAUAUUCGCAAGAACACCAGUGGCGAAGGCGGCUCACUGGCCCGAUACUGACGCUGAGGCACGAAAGCGUGGGGAGCAAACAGG
rnacentral:rRNA from 1 species